GAGAUUCUUCGAUAUUCGUCGAUCAAAACAAUGGCAAAGUUUGCGUCGAACCGAGUCGAUUCGUUUAGUCUUUCGUCGACCACCGCCGUGUUUACGUCGUAUUUCGAUGUUCUAAUCGUGAAAUAAAAUUAAUUCGCAUCCAAUUUGCGAUCAGAAAAUGAUUCUUACUAACAAUUACCGACAUUGAUUAAUUGUUUUAAGUAAUAAUUAAUUCGAUUCUUGUGCGCGGGAGUAUAAUUAUGAGAAUUGAGAAGGAUAAUUGACGCGACUUCCAUUCGUUUCUUUUCGUUCGAACUCUCGUUAUCGUUACAUUGAUCUAAUCGAAGAGGACAUUAUUUUAAGAGUUUUUUGUGUUAACGAGCAUCGUGUAGAUGUUUUAUUAUAUUACUAAUAAUGAUUAAUUAAUAGUAAUUAAUUGAGGAACACGUGGUAAAAGAGUGAUAGUGAUAGAGUGAUAGUGAGGUUAACAAUGGCGUCGGGAUUGAAGGUUGAAGAGGUCGCUUAGGUGCUGAGACUAUGGAUAAAGUAGCAGAAUUAUGACUGCACUAGAAUAAACUUAAACAGUUUAUUUAAAUGCAACAAUCAAUCACGAUAAUUUACACGGACAUUACAUCGCAUUAAAAAUCGCAAUUGUAGCCGUUUAAAAUUCAAUGCCUGGAAUGUCAACCAAAAAAUCAGUCAAAGGAUGGAAAAAGAAAGAAAGAAAAAAGAAACGAAAAACAAUGAAAUUCGAAAGUCAUGGAGACACGAAUUACGGUAUUGAAAUAAUGACGAGGCAAAGGGAUACGGGCGAUCCGAUCGACAAUGAAGGCAUCUUUCCUAACGAAGCGAUCGAGGAUCCCAUAAAUCCUCGGAUUAUUAAUACCUGGCAGUCUCGGUGCGUGAAUCCGGCAGGUGGUUGGCUGGCCUCUAAUCGUGAUCCGGGAAUAAUUUACACUCGUACACCGCUCGGAAGCCAUCGGAAUCUUUAACGACUAUUGGCCCGGUUUCGCGCCGUUUCCUUCGAGAUGAGAGAGAGGAACUUUAUAGAGUGGAGAAAGGAUGAUGAGGGUAGUCGAAGAGUGACGAUGGACGACGAGAUGAGAUAAAGAAUUAUAGAAGAUGUUAGAGAUUUGCAUUUUAUUGGCUCGAUGUUUUAAUUUUGAAUGAGAUAUUUGGUGGAUUAUAUACAGUUUUUCUUUUUUCUUUUCUUUUAUAGAAAGUUGAUAGUUUUUUAACGGAGGAUGGUUGAAGAUUGAAGAUAAGUGAAUUAAGAUGAAGGAUCACAGGUUAAACGAGAUUAAAUGAGAUUUUUACUGAAAUAUAUUGUUGUUAAAAUUAAAAAAUUGUUGUGAUAAGAGUAGUUGAAGAUGGAUAAUUAAUAGAUUUAAAAUAAAUUUAUUUACAAUAUUGAUAUUUAUUUCCUAUAUUGUUCAUUACGUGUUUUGAAAAAAACUAAUCAUAUGUGCGUAUUAUACAUAUAUUUCAGUAUUAUAAGAUUUAUCGGAAUGUUUCUUUUGAUCCUUCCAUAUUAAAAGAUUCACUUUUAGAUGUCAAUAAAUUAAAAUCAUUCAAAAUUUUCAAAAUUCUUCCAAUCAAAGCUAAUCCCUUUCCGAUCAAAAUAAGAAUAAAAAAAAUAAAAAAAAAGCCAAGGAACAUCUCAAUUAAUCUCGAUUCUCCACCAAGAUAUCCGCUGUCUAAUCGCUUGGACUCCACCGGUCGAACACCGGCGAUUCCAGCCAGAUUAACGAGCCUGAUUAGUCACAAUCAACAACCACUUCCGCCUUUACAAUCCGUCACAAAACACCGCCGAUCUCCAACCGAUCAACCACCAUCCAGCCCAUGUUUAACCAUCGUUCUCCUCCACGAGGGGACCGUGAUAAUCUCCACUCCUCUCCCUCUCCCCCUCCUACUUCCUCGACGAUUCAGUUAUAAUUCAAUCUUCACGACAGUCUAAUCCUCCGUUCCAGUCUAAUCCUCGAUUCGAGAUCGCGAUCGAUGCGAAAAAGCGCAAGGGAACGGAUGGAAAGGUCACGGAGGCAAAACCGAAUCCGACCAAUGGUGGAUCUAGAAUGGUAUCCAUCGUGGCGUGGUAUCCGCAAGCGGGGGAGCACGGAUGGAAGGUUCGCGGACAAGGUGUAAGUCGAUCGAGUUCGAUCCAAUAGAUCAGGCGGCAGAUUCGUUGCCGGUUAUUACAAGGGGUCGGAGGUCGAUCGCUCGCAUAAACCAUUUAGCCUUCGAUCGACUAUCGAUACCGAUAUUUCCCAGAGGUAUCGGCUAUCUCGGCUGCUCGAUCUUCGACCGACAAGGCCCAGGAUUUAUCCUCCCCCUCCAACUCGUUCCUCUCUCUUUCUCGCUCGAUCUACGAAACAGGAUUAAAUGUUUGGGUCUGGCCUUCUUUUUCUUUUUCUUUUUCUUCUUUGCUUUCGUGCUUUUGUUUAUCACGUUAUUUCGUCAACGUGAUUCGGAUAUUUUCCUCGUGGCACGUUGGCCUCGUGGUAAUUAAUUGAAUAGAAAUAAUAGAAUUUUUGUUAAAGGGUUGUUAUUGGAGAUUUGGCUUUUUAGACUUUCUCGGUUUUUAUUUGAAUUAAUAUAUAUAAGAUUACGAAUGUAAUUUGGAUAUUUUGGAUAAAAUGGUGGAAGUUUGAUUUGUUAGAGUUUGUUAGAGAGAGUUGUUUUUUUAAAAGGAAUUUGUUAAACAUUCGAAGAAUUUUGUAUUGAAUCUCUGUAUGAAUAUUUAAUAUCGGAAAGUUAUAUUUUUAACUACAUUUCGAUAUUCUGUAUCACUAUACAUAUAUUAAAAUUUAGAUUUAUUAUUUUUUUUCUAUUGAGAAAAUUUUGACUAUCCUAAAGAAAUGAAAAUUCUUCGUUAUACAUUCAAAGAUCGUUCGUAGCCGAGAACUACCACUUUAAUUCUUAACGAAAUUAAAAAAAAAGAAAAUCAUACCGCUUAUCCUCCAACAUGGAAGAAACAAUUACACACCGACCAACGAUAAAAUCUUGAGAAACCUCAACGCAAUUGCGGAACAACACACAGAGGAACGAUAUCAUCACGUACGUACACGCGAGUAUACACGCGAUCGAGAAUCGAUUUGGCAGAAAAGUGAAUUCAAACGAGCCGCCUGUGGGGUCUCCUUCGAUCUCUUCCGCUCCCUGGACGCGCAGCGCAAACGGAAAAAAACCAAUGCCGAAGGAGGAAAGGAGAGGAAUAUAAGAAAGAAUCGAUCGACUUCACCGUCCCUCUGGCACGGAUAUCUGGCAUCUUGGCCGAAAUUUUCCCUAAUAAAAUUUGUUCCCGCCAGUUAAGCACGUUGCCAAAAGCGCCUAUUAAUUUUUUUAUCUCGGAUCUUCGCCUCCACUCCUGGAAGGAGCCGAGAUUUCUUCGCUCUCUCGAUGCACGGUGACGCGGUGGUCGUAAAACGUCGCCGAACCCCAGCGUCGGCCUUCGUCGUCGACGAUCCAUAAUAUAUUAUUCACGCAACACUUAUUAUCAACAAUUUAAAAAACUUUCUAAUAAUUUACAAAUCUCAAGUUUCGAACUCAAGGAAAAAGUAAGGGAAAAGGAUUUUUAUUUAAAUGAUUAAAUCGAUUCGUCAUCUUCGUAGCAAAAAAAAAAUAUACGCUUCGAGAUGUACAUUUUAUUCUUCCACCGAUUUUUAAUCUCCACCGUGGCCAAAAUCACCACCAAUCUGUCGCGAUGAUAAAAUUCACGAUGAUCAAAUGGACACGUUUAAUUAAAAAUAAAACAGAUGCAAUAACGUUCCUUAUUGUCGAGCGAGCAUUAUUGCUGCGACAAAUCUUUGUGCGCGGUUAUACAGUAUAUAAACGGAAGAAAAAGAAGAAGAAGAAGAAGAAGCGUGCUCGUGAAACCGUGAAUUAAGCCGUUGUUCGCGCAGCGUUCAGAUAAGUUCUCGCUUCGACCCCUUCACCGUUCCACGAACCCUCGAUUCGACGUGGAUCUCGUGCGUAUAUACGCACGUACGUCUGGCUCUGGGCCAAUUUCACCCGACACCUGCUAAUUCUUAACUGUUUCGCUUUCGUGGAAUUGCUACCGGUCUGAGGAUCGCGCUAAUGGUCUCGAAUCUCGUCUCUAAAUGACGCGCUUCCGCUGAUCAUCGGCGCGGGGAGCAUCGCGGAUUGUUAAUGAUCCACGGCGGGGAAUAAAAUGAUUUUGGGGAAAUUUUCGUGGAAGGAGGGACGAGGGUGGAUUUAGGAAGGAUUUCUUGCUGGAUUGUUUCGUGGAAUAGAAGGAACGGGAAGGAAUUUGAGAAUAAUUAUUGGAUCGCGAUGAAAUAGAUAUAAUGAAUAAAUGUAUUUUCAAACAAGUAUUGUAAAUAAGUAGAAAAAAUGAAUGGAACGAAAUCAAAAGGAGGAUGGAUAGAGAGAUAUGAUGAAUAAUUUGCAAGAUAUUUGCGAAAAAUCGAGAGGAAAUAAAUUGCAUAAUUUUGGCCAAUAUUUGUGAAUUGUGAAUUCGAAGCAGCAGUAGUUUUCGAAAGUUUCGAAGAGAAUAAUAAAUUUGACGGAAAUAAUUAACGGGAAGGAUUUCACGGGAAAUUUAUUUACAUCGCAGCUCGAGUAAUAUUUAAUAUCGUGGAGUGGCAAAGCGGAUGCCGUAGAACCGGCCUGUGUCAAUGGAUGCCACCAAAUAUCUGGUUUACCCACACAGGUCAUCGACAUCGGCCGAUGAAUUAAUUUUUCUGCGAAAACCGAUACUUGUCUGCCGGUUCUUGUAACGAUCAACGAUACGGAUCUGUUGCUGAUAGUCACGCACAUCUCGUUUCGACAGAAGCUAAUUUAUUUUUCCACUCAAUUGACAAAAUUUAAGAAAGAUUUAAGAUGUUCGAUAAACAGGAAUGCAUUCGUUCCAUACUUUGCAAAUUUUCGUCCACGAGCGUAUAUACGCAUCUAAGAAAUUAAAAUUUGUGAUGAAAUUUUCUUUAAACAAUUUCGUAUUCUCCAUUCAAAAUUUCAAGUUCGAUUUAAUCGAUCGAUUUUUCCUUUUCUAUUACACAUCGUUACAUUAAAACGAAAAAAUAAAAGAAACUUGUAUACGUCAUACGCGUGGAUAAAAAAAUUGAAAAACAUUUGUGCCUGCGAAGCAAAAUGAUUAUCCGACAAGUGACUCGCCAAUAAAAUCAAACCGUGCAGUCACCCUUCGAACAUAUCGUAAUCGCAUCAGGUUAAAUACAACUCGCGAGUGGCACUCUCGUGAGAUAACAAAAUGGAUACUUCGCACACGUGGCCUCACACGUGAACGAAGAACGUUCAGAAGGGAUGCAAAGGGAACCAGCUCCUCGGCUCAGCCGAUUCUUUCUCCCUCGGUCAACGUUCUUAAACAAUCGGCUCUGUUCGCGGCAAUAUCGUCGAUAAGUAUCUCAAGACGGCUCUCUCGGAGCACUCCAUGAGCUACGAUCUACGUAGUGGUACGUGGCUGCUUUGAUGGCGGCCAGCCAGAAGUAAAUCUAAGGUUUACGAGGCAGUACCCGCCUCUUACUAGCACCUCCUCGAGCACUCCCCAAAGUUGCGAUGGGGAGGGGGGGUGGUAUCGGAGCUCUCGAAAAAGGAACGAGGAGAGAAAAGAAGGAAAGAAAGGUCGAGCUCUCGAAGCUCGUUGCAUUAUGGGCCAGCGCUCAUAAUUCUCAUCAAUAAAUCGCCUCGAACGACUGACGCCCCGCUCCAUAUAUACAAAAGGAAUCACCGACCUUAGGGGAGGAGGAGUGGAGAGGCGGUGUUCCGUAUCUGGCAACAAUAGAUCCGCCGGUGAUCUCGAAACAAUUCGUUGUUGAGAAACGUUUGUUGCAAUAACUCGCCUUCUUUUGGUCGUCUUUGAACCGAGGUUCAUUAAUUUCUCCGAUUAUACCACCAGGGCACCCUCGUCCUAGGCUCGUCGAAAAUCUCUGAAUUUGCUUUUCUCUCCAACGAUUGUUGCCUCGAUAGUGAAUCGCGCCGGUGCGUUUAGACAGGAGGCCAUUGUUCACGCCUUCGAUCUUGGUAAAGUGAAAUUGGAAAUAACGUUCACAGUUGCAUGGAUAUCUCGGUGGAUCUAUCUCGUGGAUUCUUAUUUUAUUUUUAGAUUCUUUUUUUUUUUCGUGAAAAUGGAGCGGAAAUUUUUUUUCAGUUUUUAUUUACGUUGAAGAAAGGAUUUAGCGAUAUCGUUGAUUUUUGCAAAGAAUUUUCAAUUAACACGUCUGUUAGUUUCAUGGUAGAAAGAAUUAUUCCAGAGUUGAAGCAAUUUUUUUUUUUUUACAAAUAUAAUGGAAUGAGUAUUUUUAUAUUUUAUGCUCAGUUUAAUCUCAUCGAUUAAUUGUUUAACAGUUAAAGGAUAAGGUAGUCUGAUUUUCUAAAAUUUUUAAACAUUUUUGGAUAAUUGAAAGUUAAGAUUCAGUUACCAAGUUCAUCAUCAAAUUUUCAUCGUAAAGACACUAUACGAUAGCAAAUUAUUUUUGAACAAAAUUUACUUCGCGUGCAAUUUUCUUUUUUUUUUCUAAAAAAAAUUUCACCACGUUUAAUUUAGAUUCUUAUCGUUUAAAACACAAUUCCUGAAAUCUGCUUCCAUUUCGCGUACUUUCACGAAAUUUUUCUAAAAAAUUACACCAUACCUAAUUCAGAUCCUUGUCGCUUAAAGUAUCGCUUACAAUUUCUAUUCCGAAGAAAAAAAUUAAAACCCACGACCUUCCUUAUAAUUACAAUUCCAGGCAACGUUCUUUUAUUCUUGAAAGAAUAAAAAUUACGUCCUCUAACCAAUAAUCAGAAUUCCAAAAAUCUUUCGAAUUCACCUCCCGAAAAAUUCCUCUCGAAAUUUAAUUUCAAUUCGCCCACCCUCCUCUCCCCGCGCAUCGUGAUAAAUUGUUCGCGUUAAAAGGGGAGGAUCUGGAUGUAGGUCGCGGUAUCCCUUCGCCAAAUUAUAGCCCGAUAUAUUUCUGCUCGAUACACAUUGUAACACCCUUUCUACUAUACGCCGAUCUCCUUAACCCAAACCGCUCCCAUAAACCGCGAACUCGAGGACCCGAUGGCGCGUAUAGGCGCGCGUGGUCAUAGGGGCCGAUAAUAUAGUUAUUACCGAGUCAGAGCCCCCUCUCCGCCUCCCCUCACCCCUCCCUCCAGCCACAAGAAAGCGACGAACCCCGCAUUAAAAACCAAUUUUUGGCCACGAAAAAAGCUGCGCCGUUGCUCGUAUAAUAACAGGCCUGGUAAUCUAUAGUAGGUUUUCUGUCCGGGCCCGAGGUUCAUCCAUCCAUUUCUCCAGCGAGGAGGAACAACCCUCUCCCUCCUCCUCCCUUGCGGGUUCCUCCAUCCUCUUAUCCUUGUCCGUUUUAGAGGGAGGAUAAUCGAACAAAUUGGAGAGCCUCCAGCCUCCGCUCCACGGACGACUUUUUUUCAAUUAAAAAAGGGAGGGGUGAGAGGGUUAACUCUCUCGGUGCGUCCGACAGCUGUCGGAUUUUGUAACGUAACUUUGCUCCCUCCUGAGAAAUUCCCGCCUCGUUUCGGGAAUUUUUCUGAGAGUUGGAGAGAAUUCGAAAGGGGGAGAGGGGGUCCUCUUUUCUGGCUUCUUCUGGCUUCCGUUAAGGGAAGGGGAUUUUUCGAGAUAGUGUUUAGAUAGGGUUAGGUUUUCUCGUUAUCGAUCUUGUUCGGAAUGAGGGUGUAAUAAGGGAUGAUAAGUCAAUUUCGUUUGAUGUAUUAAUAUAUCGGGUGUAUCCGGUUUCGCGGGCAUCUGGCUCUAAAUUGUUAUGGUGAAUUUUUUUCCUCGGGAAGAUUGACUUGCUGAUUUAAUGAUAAUAUCUUAUUUAUUCUGGGGAAUAAUUUUCGACGAGUUUUGUUCGCGGAUGAUGCGAUGGGAUGUUCACUUUAACGUUCAUUCUUCGUAAAUUUAAUACGUGUUUUGAUAUAUUUUUUUAUACGGCAUUCGGGCGAUCGUUUAAAAUUAGAGUAAUAUGAUCAAUCCCCAUUGAAAUUUUGUCAAGGGAAAAUUUCAUGAUUCGAUUUCCAUUAUUUGAAAAUCGAGAAGGACGCGUUUCGUUCAUUUCUUACACAAACGGAACGGAAACAUCUACGAUCUAUGUUUGAUGAAUUCACAGCCGCAAUUCACAACUGUUAAAUCAAAAACCAGUUGGAACCGCCGAAGGGGAGACAGGUUUAAUAGAAUUCGGCCAAUUAUCUCGCACAAAUCACAGGUAUCCCGUUAGCUGUUUCCUAUUAGGUGUUCUAUUAUUAUAAGUAUUUCAAACUCUUUCUCUCUCUCUCUCUCUCUCUCUCUCUCUCUCUCUCUCUCUCUUAGAACAUCUUUUUCAAAAAUGAGAAUUUUACAUUCUUUUAAAUUGAAAUAAGUUGAAUUAUUGGAUUAAAAUAAGUUCUAAUUAUAAGUGAAAUGCAACCAAGUUGAUCAGACAACGAGCAUUUGUUAUCCUAGUACCUUUCAAUCUGUCAAAUUACAAAAUCCAGCCAAGUUAUUUAUGAAGAAAUUACACGUGAAGAAUAAGCCAUUAUGUCGGUUUAAUCGUAUCACAUUUGUAACCAUCAAAGUUGAUUUUCAAUCUGUUAUUUCUCCAUUGUUGUAAUUCUAGCUAUUAAUUCUAAAAUUUCGAUUCCGAUGCAAGCGUAGAUUUAAUCCAUAACUUUAAUAAAAUUAAAAUUAAAUCGUUUCUAAAAAUCUAAUCUCGACAAAUUUUCGAAAGAUUAAUUUCUCCCGAAACGAUAAUAAAACGAAACUGAAUGAGAUCCGUCAUAUGAAAAUCAAUGUCGACAUUCUACCGCAGGUAUUAUCGAUAAAAUUAUCAAAAAAUUUGGCCGUAUAAUUAUAAAACUAUGAAAAAAUAAAUAAUUAAAAAUUCUUUUCGAUUGGACACAAUUCAACAUUAACCCGACCAACGAGAGAUAAGAAAAUACGUAUCGACGAUGAUCGAAGAGAUCGAUCGAUCGUUACGGAAGGAGUGGCCAAAGAUAGAAAUAAAAAAACAAAAAAAGACCUCGCGUAGAAGAUGGCCAUUGCGUAAUUCGUUGUGCCGGAGUAGAGGACGCGGUCGAUCGGCCGCCAGUAAAUUUCUAUUAACGGCUCGGCGUUCGAAACAAUUGGCCAUUAAAUCGAACGGUCCCGCGGCAGAUAAUAACUGGCAAUAAUCGGGCCGUGGCCACCGGUUCAGCUUGUGGGACGCUGGUGGGACCCCUUUUCGGCCCCCAUGGCUCGCCAUCGCGAAACAAGCCGAGCAUCGGUAAUGAGAGGCCAAUUAGAACACCCCGUCGAUGGAAUUAUCCCCAGACGCUUCGAAAUUCAAACUGGUUGCCGUGAACGUUUCCUCCUAAUGCCCCCGAGACACGCGAAAAGGGGAGUUAGAAGAGAGAGAGAAAGAGAGAGAGGGUUGAAUGGGUUAGAGAGAUGAUCCUUUUCUCGAGUCUUUUCUUCGAUCCUGAAGAUCGUUUCGACGAUAUUCCCGGAUGGAAAGAAAAUUGUGGUUGUUCGUUCAAUCGUGGUUGUAAGUAAGGAUUUAAAAGCGUAAGGAAUGAAUAAUUCAUGGAAUAGUUAUAGUAUUUAUUAUAAUAUUUUGAUGGUUUGAUUAAUUGUCUUAAUUUAUUCCAGUUGUGAGCGAUAUUUAGAAUUUUGGAAAUGAAUGAAUAUUUUUUCUCUCCGAGUGACUUUUAUUGAUAAAAUUUUGUUCGAAAUGGAUGGAAAAUUGGAGAGGUAUGUUUCUGAUAUAAAUUCCGUAGGAAUUUAAAAGGAAUAAAUCUUAUGAAGCAUAUAUAUAAACGUUCAACAUGCAAAAAUUAUUAUAAAAAUAAUUUAUCACACAUUUAGUGAUUUUCCCUAAAACGAAAUCGUUUCAAUCUUCCCAUUGCAACCCUACAAUAUUAAACAUCACAUAUUUACGAUAUUUUUCAAAAUAUUAAUACAUUUACCCUUUUCAAGCUUCCCCUAAUACUUUCUUCUCGUUGUAAUUACAUGUUUUCCCAUCAUCUUUAAUUCCGCACAAUAUUUCCACCGUCCAAAAAUAAGAUAAUUUCCAUUCGUAGAACAGAAGCGAACAAUUAGUAAGCUUCUGGUUAUGGAAAAUUCCCACUCGAUCGAUAAAGUCUCGAGGAAACAUACAUGUCGAUACACUUCUGUCAAUCGAUAGAAGAGUAUCGAGAUCGAUAUUGUCCAAAGAUAUCUGCACUCACGCGCAGAGACAGAGAUCGGUAGCGAGAAGAAGGAGAUAUCGAAGGCCGUGUCGGUGAAGGAAAAAGAGAGGCCGGUUAACUGCGGUUCGCUCAAUUUACAGCCGUGUAUAAUUAACCGGGGCAUGAAAAACGGCCAGCCACGUGCUAUCUCGCGCGUUGGGAUACCGGAGAUUUAUAGUUAUUAAUUUUAUAAUAGACUCAUCAAGCGGCGUUCGCGUGACGUUGUCGCCAUCGCUCUUGAUAUCGCGGGAAACACGUUCAAUGAAAAUGCGACGUGCCUCGAAUCCUCUUCGAUCUUCCCCUUUUUUGUAUUUUUUUAUCCUCUCGCAGCGGAGGAUAUUUGCUUUAUUAAUUUAUCGUUUUAUUUCUUUGCGAUUUCGUGAAAAUCUAAUUAAUUAAAUUAAAAAUAAAAAAAUGGAUAUAUGGAAAUAGUAAGAUUGACGAAUCGUGCGACUAAAAGGAUUUUUAUCACUGCAGAAUUUCGUGCAGUGAUAAUUUGAAAUAUAUUUUAUUGAAAUAUAUAAAUAUUUUUUCGAAUUUUUUGAAUUCUUUUUUUUUAAAUAUUAGUUCUUCGUAAGGAAAUAAAAGUUUUAUUAUUUUUAAUAUUUUUCGAUUGUUUCGAUUCGUCGAUUUUUUCUUUUUUGGAAAAAAAUUCGAAAAAUCUUUUGUUACUUUUUCAUUUUUAUUGAAAAAUGUUUGGACGAACAAUCAUAAAUUUAAAUAAAUGUAUUGAUAAUAUUUUAACAUGUCUUUCAAAAGUUUAAAAUUCAAAUUUGAUCUAUAAAAGUUAAGCUCGAUUAUAAGCGAUUUUUAAUUCGUUUAUCAAGUGUGAAAAAAUAUAUUUACUUAUAGCCGAUAGAUAAUUAAUCUCGCAUAUAUUAUUUCCUCGUUCGAUUAAAAUUCGAACAAUAUAAUAAAUAAUCGACAACGUGAAAUAAAAUAUUUUAAUUCAAGGAUGGUUAUUAAACGAUCACAAAAGGAGGGAAAUUUAAUUAAUUUUUAUUUUAUCGCAUUUACAUUUCAUAUAUCUACUUACACGUGUGCACAUAAUAGAUAACGCGAUUAUAUAACGAUGUGUAAGAUAUAUUAGAGGUGAAAACGCUAUCGUAAAAACAGAAUUUGUUAAAAGAAGAAUAAUAUUUUUAUUGCAUUUCCAUCUGUGUAUGUGUGUGUGUAUGUGUGUGUGUCUGUAUAUAUAUGUUCAUAAAAUCAUUUUUCGAAAAGCCAUAGGAAUUUAACGUUGCCAAUAAUGGAGGAUGCACAAAUUUAUAAUCCAUACGUUAAAUUACAAAGUCAAGUGGCUUUUAUAAAUUUUGUUGCUCUCCGGCAAGGAUCACGAUUCAUGUAAGCGGAAAUUUAAAUCGAUCGAUUCGACCGGGCUCCAUUAAAACACAGUUAAGUCGUUUCGUGUAUUAAUUGAUCAAAUUUUCCAGAUAGACUCCUUGAAAAAGAUGCGAUUAAUAGGGACAAUUUGUAUUCAUGAACGAACCGGACGAUGUUUGGUCUCUGUUUCCUCGAGCAUCUUAAUAACUCGCGUUGCAACAAUCUGCACGAGGAUAAUUUGUUAAUAAAUUUCAUUUAAAGAACAACUGAGACUGAAUAUAAAUGAGGCGCAGCAAUGAGAAAUAUAUUCGAUUUUUUAAAUACGGAGACGUGUGAAAUAUGCUUCGAUUCAAACUUCCUCUUAAAAUAAAUUUUAAAAUACACAUAAGAAUUAUUUUUCAUAAUCAUUCUGAUGAAAAUAUGAAAAAUUAGUCAAUACAAUUUUCAUUGUAGAUGUAUAUAUUUAUCAUAUUUGAUAUUAUAAAAAUCGAUUGUCAGAAUUUGUUCUUUUCUCGUCUUGGAAUUAAUAGCACGAGAAGUGAAGGUAUUAAAAAACAUAUUUUCUAUAAUUAAAAAUUUUCUUAAAAAAUUCGAUAUUUAUUUUUCGACGACAGAUUAUAUUGGACUGGAUUUAUAUUUCAAAUUUUGUAUCCAAUCAGUAAUUUGAUGUUUGCGCCAUUUAUUGGUGUAAUUUGAUAGGCGUGUCGUUCCAUCCUGUACUCUUGAUAACCGGAAGUACCGCCUUUCAGAAAAAUUUACACCGAAUAAUCGAUCUUCCGUAAAAGGAUGUGAAACAUUCUUCUUGUUUGAAGAGUAUAAUUUCUUCUUAAAAUGAUUAACAAGAAAUAAGAGGCAUCGUUUAGAAAAUUAUUCCAAAGCAUAAUAAAGUUGAAUUAAUCAUAAUUCCAUGAUUUUUAAAAGUAAAAAUCGAUUUUCCUUUUUCUCUUUUCUUUCUUUUUUUUUUUAAAUUUUACUUCUUUUAUAUUAAUUCGUAUUUUUACAUUCGGAUUAUCGAUGCGUUUCUAUUAAGUGGUGGAAUCUUUAUGAAAUUAAUAAUCAAAGCGGCUAGUUAUUAAUUGCUACUAUAAUUAGUGUUUAAUGGCGGAAUUAUAAUGAGACCCAUAAUUCGAUCCACGCCGGGCCUCAUUAAUUGAAAAUGUAAUUCGUAAUUUAAUAUGAAAUUAAUUGCGAAAGUAAUUACAACGUCUGAACAUGGCCGACAUAUAUACAUAUAUAAACGUAAUAAUUUGUAUCAAAUAGAAAUCGUAAUUUAAUAUAUAAUAAGAAUAUGUCUGCAUUGAAUCAACUUCCAAGGAGCAAAAAAAAAAAGAAAGAAAAAAAAAAUCUUAAGAAAAUAAUAUCUUUUCUUUCUCUUCAUGAAUAUUAAUCUAUAAUUUAAUCAUUAUUUAACGAUAAAACGGAUUAUCUUUUAUUUUUCCUUUCUUUCUUUCUUUAAGAAAGAACAUUAUAUAUUUUUACCCGUAGUCCCUUCGGAUUUGCCUCAUUGUUUAGUCAUUCGAAAAAUUGAAUGUUAUGCAUCGAAACUAGCGUGUCAUGCUCAGUGCUUAGCCAAGUAGAAGAAAAAAAAGGAUUCAUCUUUCCAUCCUAUCCUUCAUAUUUAAUCCUUAUUGAAAGGAAUAAGGGAAUAAGAAUAAAUUCUUCUUUUAGAAAAAUAGUUCAAUUCCUUGGAACUCCAUUAUUUCUUCAUUUAUAAAAAUUAUCAGGUAACUCUAUUGUGUAGUUUCUAAUAAUAAUAAACUUGUCAAUUGUAUGUUUAUAAUAAUAAUAAUAUUAUUAAUUAGAUUUAUAAUAUUUUUAACUAAGAAAAAAUUGUAGGAGAGAACAUAAUUACAAUUAUAUAGAAUUUUCUAAAAUUAUAAGAUAUUAAAUUCUUACGUUAUAUUAAUAUUAUUACAUUAAACGAAAACUUUUAAUCAAGAAAGAGAUUGAAAUCGUAAAUUUACAUUUUAAUAACGACACAACGAUGGAUUUCAAUACUCCUCGUGAAAGUUAAUAAGAAACAAUAAUGCUCCGAUAUAUUAAUGGACCGAUAUUUAAGACAUUCGCAAUUUUCGUCCUCGUUUCGUUGAUUAAUUCGACCAUAAAGAAUGAUUGCGACGCGGUUCGCUGCUACCGCAAUCGUUCCACUGAUUAAUGGAGUAAUGAAAUCUCGUCUAACCUUUUAAUGGAAUCACGAGUCGCCACCAAUAGGUAAUCAAACGUAAUAAUACGGCUGAAACCGUAGGAACGUGUGCGCAUUAUGCAUAACUGGACAAGGUUAUGCUUACAAGAGUUACAAAACGUUUCAUUAAAUUUGUUGCACACAUCCGUGAGAGACGAUCUCAUCAAGUGAUCGAUUUCCUUAAUAGGAUUCCAUUUUUUACGCACAUGUGUAACUAUGAUAAUGAUGAAGGAUUGAAAUAAACAUCUUCUUAGCUUACGCAGAGAAGGUAAAUUAUUGGAAAUAAGUUCUGAAUUUUUUUUUUUUUUUUUUAAUUGGAAUUAGUUUGAUAUUAAUGAAUUUGAGAUGGAAAAAUUAAUGGUUUUAUUACUAUAUGUAUAUUUAUAAUGAAUCAUAAGGAAUAAGAUUUCAUUCAAUAGAAAUAGAAACGUUGAGGAAGAGGAUGAAGAUUGUGAUAUUAUAAAAUUAUGUAACAUUAGUAUUAAUAUUAUGCAACAUGAAAUAUAUUUAGAAUAGAAUGUAGAUAUAAUAUUAUAAUUAUCAAUAGUGUAAUAUUAUAUAUACAAUAUUUUCAGUAAUAGAUCUAUUUUCGUAAUCCUUCUUUAUAUUCUAUUAUAAAUCUAGAAGAGGUUAAAAAAAAAAAUCACAAAUUAAUACAUGCUCGAUUAGAAAUUAUAUUUCAUAAAACUUUUACAGCUAAUAAAAUUUAUUUACCAUAAAUUUAACUGUAAACCGGUGAUCUUGUACAGAUAACAGAUCAAUUUAUAACGAUGGCGAUAAUUACCGAAUGCUUCACUAUCAGUGAAUCGACUCAUGACUAAUGAGAAGUCGAUGAACCAUCAAACUUGUAACGAAUGCAACUGUAAACAUAAAUUACCUUACAAAGAUACGAAUGAACUAUAAUUCAUCGAUAUUUUUUCCUAUUUUUCCAUGAGAUGCAAGCUAGGCGAAGCAGUUUCACUCAAGUCGGUAAUCAUUGUGCAAUUAGGUUCUCGUCAGUUAUGUUUCACACAAAUCAUGGUUAAGAUAGCGACAAAAGCAUCUUCUCUUUAAUAAACGUGAAAUUUCCUAUAAAUUGUUGCGAAUAAUUUAACAACGAUGGAUCACUAACGUCUUAAUAACGUCGAAAGAACGUCUUAAUAAUGUGUGAUAAAUAUUUCUCUUACGAGUAACAGUUAAAAUUAUUCAAGGCAAGUUAAUUUUCGCAAUUUUUCUGGUGUUUAAAAUCAGAUAGUAUACUUAUAGUAAUGUUCCCAUCAGUUAUAGCGGCUAAGGAUAAUUUAGAAAACUAUGAAAAUAUUUCUAAAUCAUAAAAUUUUAUUCAAAUCAUUCCUAUUCUUUUCGUAUAAAAUUUCAUAGUUUUCCAAAGACUCCAAGGAUUCCAAAAAAAUUCCAAUAUUCGAUUCAUCAUUUUUAUCUUUUAUUACAAGGUAAUUUUUUUUUUUUUUUUUUUUUGAUAUAAAAUCCAAUUUUUAAAACUUCAACAAUAUUCAAUACACUAUUUCAUCUUAAAAUACACUUCACACAACCUCCACAACUUUCCUUCGAUUUUCCAAUGAUUUUCACCUUAGAAAUGAAAUCUAAUUAAUCUCAUAAAAUCGCAAUAUUAUUCUUGCUCGUUCGACGAAACGGACAAUAUAAUUGGGAUCACCAAUCCCCAAACAAACGUCAUCCCCAAAGAUUAAAAUUCACGCCAUUCCUCUGCUAAGAUAUUAUCCGACCGAUCUAUCUUAAUAUUUAACCCUUCAAAGGGUUAAACAGUUGUCCAACCUACUUUCCAUCACUUUCGACGCUUUCACGUGCGAUCGAUUCACGUGGCCAACAGCACGGUCAACCUAACAAGCGUUGGACCCCCUAAGACAAAUGAUAAGGGCGAGUUCGAUCGAAUUUAUCAAAGAAAUAAUAAAGAGGAGUAUCCUCGCUGACCAUUCCGGACAGUGCACACGGAAAAGGUGUGAACUGUUUAAGCCGAGGUGUCGGCUCGUCAGCAGUCAGCAAGGUGUUGGGCCACGAUCAUUUAUUAUCCCGAGAUUGAAUUUCUCCUCGGCUCGGCCAGCGCCUCGGUUUAAUUAAAAUAUCGUUAUGGGUAGGCGUGGAUAUUCGUGCCGCCGUGGAACGUUUCUGACCCAUCUCUCUCUCUCUUUUCUCUCUUUCUCUCUCUCUCUCUCUCUCUCUUUCGUCUCUCUCGCCUCUCUUUUCGAGGCUCGUUCGCGGUUUAAACGAGCAACAAGAUUGGGGAACGGAGAACAGGAGACGAUGGAAAAGCACGGAAGGCUUCCGUUGGAUAUCGCCUCGACACGGAAAUCGGGACACGGGACGGGUGGAAUAUCGAUCUUGGCUCGUGGGAUUAGGAGAGCAGGAGUGAAGACAGGUGUUCGGUGUUUCCUGAGGUGUUUUAAAAUAAUUGAUAGUGGUCGAUUUCGUGGAACACCGCGUACGAAUGGUGUCGUGAUCGUUCCCAGAAGGAUUCGUAAUUAAACGAAGAGAUCGCAUUCCGAUACAGGGGGCCGUUUCUCUUGGUGCACAUACAAUCAGCAUAAGCAAUCGUCUGCGUGCGAAUUCGGACUGAGAAUAUCGGUGCGUCUGUCCGGAGAAAAAAUAUUGUUAUAAGGCGAGAGCAUCCACUCUCGUAAAUAUCAUACCGUUAAAACGCAUCUGAGCCGAAGGAGCUAUUUCCAUCCCUUAAAUUUAAGAUUAGCCGCGUGCAUCACGUUGAAGAAAUAUUUUGAACGAAGUGAUAUCGGAUAGAUAAUAUUCCAGAAUUUGAAUUUGAGGUUAAUUAGGAUUGGAAAUUGGAAAAUAUUCAGAACGAUCGAAUAUAUACGAAAUUUAAGAAAUAUCAGACGACAGAAAUAUCAGAUGAUUUCUGAGUUAUUCAAUUCUUCGAUAAUUUGAAAAAAAUUGCUCAAAAUUGCUUUGUGUAAAAAAGGAGGGCGUAACAAAGAAACUCAUUUCACAGUCCAUCGUAUUUAUUGCCUUCCAUCAUAUUUAGACAGAACAGAAAACUUACACGCAUCCUCGUCAAUACUUCGUAACAAAAUAAUUACCAAUAAAAGAAGCUAUAUUUUCCAA